CAGCCUCCUAGGUAUCUAGGACUGCAGGUGUGUCCACUGCACAUGGCUAAUUUUUCCUUUUUCUUAUUUUUGUAGAGAGAAGGUCUUGCUAUGUUGCCUAGACUAGUCCCAAACUCCUGUCCUCAAGUGAUCCUCCUGCCUUGGGCUCCCAAAGUGGUGGGAUUACAGGGAUGAGCCACAACACCUGGCCUGGACCCUAAUUGUUUUUAAUGUAAAAAAACCCUAUUAUUUAUGAAACAAUUGGAAAUUUCAAUACUAACUGGGUAUAUGAUGACAUUAAGGACUUA
rnacentral:lncRNA from 10 species